rnacentral:RNase_P_RNA from 1 species
GAAAGUAGGCGAGGUGAUCGCAAUUGAUGGGUGUUGCCCUUGGGUAACAGUCAUCGGUUGAGGAAAGUCCGGGCUCCCCGAUGGCCAGGCUUGCUGGGUAAUGCCCAGUGCGGGUGACCGUGAGGAGAGUGCCACAGAAACACACCGCCGAUGGCCGGUUCUGCCGGCACAGGCAAGGGUGCAAAGGUGCGGUAAGAGCGCACCAGCAGCAUCGAGAGGUGCUGGCUCGGUAAACCCCGGCUGGGAGCAAGGCCUAGGAACGACGGGUGGCCAUCUUCCCCGUUCCGCCAUAGUGCGCCGCUCGAGGUCGUCGGUAACGGCGAUCCCAGAUAGAUGAUCACCCCCCUUCCUUGGAAGGGUGAACAGAACCCGGCUUAUGUCCUGCUUUCACCC